rnacentral:rRNA from 1 species
CCCUUAGAUGUUCUGGGCCGCACGCGCGCUACACUGAUGAAUUCAACGAGCUCCUAACCUAGGCCGAAGGGUCCGGGUAAUCUUUGAAAUUUCAUCGUGAUGGGGAUAGAUUAUUGCAAUUAUUAAUCUUCAACGAGGAAUGCCUAGUAAGCGCAAGUCAUCAGCUUGCGUUGAUUACGUCCCUGCCCUUUGUACACACCGCCCGUCGCUCCUACCGAUUGAAUGGUCCGGUGAAGCGUUCGGACCGUGGCCUUUGGACGGUUCGCCGUCUGUUGGCUGCGGGAAGUUCGUUAAACCUUAUCAUUUAGAGGAAGGAGAAGUCGUAACA